CCUGGGCACGGUGGCGCACAUCUGUAAUCCCAGCUACUUGGAAGGCUGAGGCAGGAGGAUCACAAGUUUGAAGCCAGCCCCUACAACUUAGUAAUGCCCUGCCUCAAA
rnacentral:sRNA from 1 species